rnacentral:piRNA from 1 species
CGAUUGAAGGUGAGAAUGGAAGUAUCUU